AACCAACAGGGAUUGCCUUAGUAGCGGCGAGUGAAGCGGCAAGAGCUCAAAUUUGAAAUCUGGUAUCUUCGGUGCCCGAGUUGUAAUUUGAAGAAAGCAGUCUUGGAUUUGGCCUUUGUCUAUGUUCCUUGGAACAGGACGUCACAGAGGGUGAGAAUCCCGUGCGAUGAGGUAUCCAUUUCUUCGUAAGGCGCUUUCGAAGAGUCGAGUUGUUUGGGAAUGCAGCUCAAAGUGGGUGGUAAAUUCCAUCUAAAGCUAAAUAUUGGCGAGAGACCGAUAGCGAACAAGUACUGUGAAGGAAAGAUGAAAAGAACUUUGAAAAGAGAGUGAAAAAGUACGUGAAAUUGUUGAAAGGGAAGGGUAUUCGAUCAGACUUGGUAUUUAGUUAUCAUCGCUCCUUGUGGGUGGUGCUCUAACUUUUUACUGGGCCAGCAUCAGUUUUGGUGGCAAGAUAAUGACAGUUGAAUGUGGCUCCUUGGAGUGUUAUAGCCUCUGUUGAUAUUGCCUACUGGGACUGAGGUCUGCGGCUUUGCCUAGGAUGCUGGUGUAAUGAUCUAAUACCGCCCGUCUUGAAACACAGGACCA
rnacentral:rRNA from 1 species